GAAGAGUCCACAGUUACACUAAGUGAUUCAGUGGGAAACUGCCAACACUUGUUUGAUGAAAUCCAUAAGGUCAUUGCCCUAUGCCCUGAAUGUGCUUAGCAGACAUGACGAAGAUGAACUGACAGUUUCCAACAGCACUGGAAGCCAGGAAAAGAUUUAGGCAAGGUACUACUUAUACACUUCUAAUAUAUUGUUCAUCAUGAUGUGUGUUUUUGACUUAUUAUUCCUUUCCUGGCAAAAUUAGCUAGAUGCUUCCCUUGCCCCAAAUGUCUCAUUGCUGAUUUCAUCUCAUCUGUCCCCAUCCACUGUCCUCAAUAACCUGACCAUUAACCAUUCAUAAGUAUAUUUCAUUAUGUCCUCUUGUUUUUGAUUUUCUGAUAAUGCACGCAUAAAUACGAUUACAUGUUGAGGAAUCAAACUGUUCUCACUGUAGUUUGUUAGCUGUUGUCUCUAU
rnacentral:lncRNA from 1 species